rnacentral:rRNA from 1 species
CCUACGGGAGGCAGCAGUGGGGAAUAUUGCACAAUGGGGGGAACCCUGAUGCAGCGACGCCGCGUGUGGGAAGACGGUCCUCUGGAUUGUAAACCACUGUCCCCAGGGACGAAAAUGACGGUACCUGGGGAGGAAGCUCCGGCUAACUACGUGCGAGCAGCCGCGGUAAUACGUAGGGAGCGAGCGUUGUCCGGAAGUACUGGGUGUAAAGGGAGCGUAGGCGGGGAUGCAAGUGGGGUGUCAAAACUACCGGCUCAACUGGUAGUCGCCCUCAAAACUGCAGCUCUUGAGUGAAGUAGAGGCAGGCGGAAGUCCUAGUGUAGCGGUGAAAUGCGUAGAUAUUAGGAGGAACACCAGUGGCGAAGGCGGCCUGCUGGGCUUUUACUGACGCUGAGGCUCGAAAGUGUGGGGAGCAAACAGGAUUAGAUACCCGGGUAGUC